GGGUGUGACUCAGUGGUGGAGUGCUUGCCUAGCACAGGCAAGGCCCUGGAUUCAAUCCCCAGCACUGCA
rnacentral:tRNA from 1 species